UCCGGUAGGUGAACCUGCGGAGGAUCAUUAC
rnacentral:rRNA from 1 species